rnacentral:rRNA from 1 species
AAAUCAUAUGACUCAUUAAUAUGGUGAUUAUGAUAACAUAAGGGAAAAAAAUGAUAUUACCUUAUUAUUAGUGUUGUCCAAAACUGGUGCCAGAAGACUCGGUAAGACCAGAGACGCAAACGUUAGUCAUCUUAAUCAGGCGUAAAGGGUUUGUAGGCUGCUUUAAAAUUUUAAAUCUUUGUAAUAGCUCUUUUACCGUAAUACUAUAUAUAUUUAUUUGAAAUAAUAAUAAACUAAAAUAUAAAAUAUAGUAUAUAAAAUUUAUUAUUUAAAAUAAUAAAAAAAUGAUAUUAAAAAAAUAUCCGUGUAUUAGUAAAGAAAUAAAAAAAUUAAAGCUAGGAUCAAAUUGAGGAUAAACCAAAUAAUACUUAGAGUAGGGCUUAUAUCCGUAGAUACUAAGGGGAAUACUAAAGGUGAAAACUUUUUAUCUACUAUUGAUUGACGCUGAGAAACGAAGGUGAGAAUAGGAAAUAGGAUUAGAUACCCAGAUACCUCUCACUGUCAACGAUGAAUGGUGGUUUGUUAGUUUUAAUAAAAACUGGUAACGAUGUUAACACGAUAACCAUUCCGCCUUGCGAGUACGGUUGCAAAACUGAAACCAAAAAAAUUAGUCGGUUUCGAAGCAAACGAAGUGAGCAUGUUAUUUAAUACGAGAGUACUUGCAUAUCCAAUCAUGUUCUUAGUUAAGUCUAAGUUCUUUUUAAUAAGAAAAACAGAUUGAGUAAUUUUUAUUCAUUUAAAAAUUCGUUUACA